AUUGCUUCUCAGCUUCUUGGCUAAGAUCAAGUGUAGAAUCCAAUCUAAUGUUAGUAAUCUAACACUGAAUGUAGAUUCUAGUGUAAUAUUACACUCCUUAAUAUAACACCCACAAACCUUUCAUAAACAUAGAUAUGUAGGUUACUAUUUCAUCGCUGUAAAAUACAGCGAUGUUACAUUAACUCCAA
rnacentral:snRNA from 1 species